UGCAUCCCUCUACAUCCCAAGAGGAUCACUCUGGCACUGGAUUGAAAAUAGACUGAAGGAGUAGGGAGAGAACAAGGGUCAGAGGAGAGACACCAGUUCCCUCCGUCUGU